UCCGUACAAAUAAAAGCUCUCCUGG
rnacentral:piRNA from 1 species